rnacentral:rRNA from 1 species
UGGGGAAUUUUGGACAAUGGGCGCAAGCCUGAUCCAGCCAUUCCGCGUGCGGGACGAAGGCCUUCGGGUUGUAAACUGCUUUUGUACGGAACGAAAAGCCCUUCUCUAAUACAGAGAGGUCAUGACGGUACCGUAAGAAUAAGCACCGGCUAACUACGUGCCAGCAGCCGCGGUAAUACGUAGGGUGCAAGCGUUAAUCGGAAUUACUGGGCGUAAAGCGUGAGUAGGUGGUUUCUUAAGUCUGCUGUGAAAGCCCCGGGCUCAACCUGGGAAUUGCAGUGGAUACUGGGAAGCUAGAGUGCGGUAGAGGGUAGUGGAAUUCCCGGUGUGGCGGUAAAAUGCGUAGAGAUCGGGAGGAACACCAGUGGAGAAGGGAAUCCCCUGGGACUGAACUGACGCUCGUGCACGUAAGCGUGGGGAGCAAACA